rnacentral:rRNA from 1 species
AUUGAACGCUGGCGGCAGGCCUAACACAUGCAAGUCGAGCGAGCGGCGGACGGGUGAGUAAUGUAUGGGGACUGCCCGAUAGAGGGGGAUAACUACUGGAAACGGUGGCUAAUACCGCAUACUAUCGGAUAACCCAUAUGGGAUUAGCUAGUAGGUGGGGGAAAGGCCCACCUAGGCGACGAUCUCUAGCUGGUCUGAGAGGAUGAUCAGCCACACUGAGACUGAGACACAGCCCAGACUCCAACGGAGGCGACGAUGGGGAAUAUUGCACAAUGGACGCAAAACUUAUGCGACCAUGCCGCGAGUAUGAAGAAGCCCUUAGGGUUGUAAAGUACUUUCAGCGGGGAGGCGUUACCCGCAGAAGAAGCACCGGCUAACUCCGUGCCAGCAGCCGCGGUAAUAC